rnacentral:rRNA from 1 species
GACGAACGCUGGCGGCGUGCUUAACACAUGCAAGUCGAACGGUGAACCUCUUCGGAGGGGCUCAGUGGCGAACGGGCGAGUAACACGUGGGCAACCUGCCCCCGGCCCUGGGAUAACUCCAAGAAUUUGGGGCUAAUACCGGAUGUUCACCGCUUCUCGCAUGGGUGGUGGUGCAAAGGGUUUCCGGCUGGGGAUGGGCACGCGGCCUAUCAGCUUGUUGGUGGGGUAGUGGCAUACCAAGGGGACGACGGGUAGCCGGCCUGGGAGGGGGACCGGGCACACGGGGACUAAGACACGGACCAGUCGCCUACGGGAGGCAGCAGGGGGGAAUAUUGCGGAAUGGGCGGAAGCCAGACGCGGCGACGCCGCGUGCGGGAUGACGGCCUUCGGGUUGUAAACCUCUUUCAGCGGAGACGAAGCGCAAGUGACGGUACCUGCAGAAGAAGCACCGGCCAACUACGUG